rnacentral:tRNA from 1 species
UCUGUAUAGUUUAAAUAAAACAUUAGACUGUGAACCUAAAAACAGGCUUUGCCUUACAGACC